UGGGGAAUUUUGCACAAUGGGGGAAACCCUGAUGCAGCGACGCCGCGUGAUUUAGAAGGCCUUCGGGUUGUAAAAAUCUUUUCUAUGGGAAGAAAAUGACAGUACCAUAGGAAUAAGGACCGGCUAAUUACGUGCCAGCAGCCGCGGUAAUACGUAAGGUCCGAGCGUUGUCCGGAAUCAUUGGGCGUAAAGGGUACGUAGGCGGGUAAGCAAGUUAGAAGUGAAAUCCUGUAGCUCAACUACAGUAAGCUUUUAAAACUGCUCAUCUUGAGAUAUGGAAGGGAAAGUGGAAUUCCUAGUGUAGCGGUGAAUUGCGCAGAUAUUAGGAGGAAUACCGGUGGCGAAGGCGACUUUCUGGCCAUAAUCUGACGCUGAGGUACGAAAGCGUUGGUAUCAAACAGG
rnacentral:rRNA from 1 species